UAUAAAUACCCGCGUUUAAGAGAUAGGUUUUCAGGCGUCAACAUUACUGCUUGAUAAACUUCUCUACCACUCAAAAGCCCUAAACUUCAUUGCUCUCGGAUCUCUGCCGUCUGCCGUUUUUAUCCUGCUAGCACUGCGUUAUAAAUUUUUAAAUUGUAGGCAUCAUGUUAAUUUCUUCAAAUUUUUAAUUGUUAUAUGAAUGCCUAAUUAUAAUGCAGUUCUAGCAAGAUACUUUGGGCUAAAGACAUUUGGGUUGCAUCCAACUCUCAAAUUUUCAGUUACAAGUGUGAAGAAAACCUCCAAACGGUUGCAUAUCCUAAAGCAUUUGUUCUAUAUUUAGUUGUUCACUCAAGCAGCGGAGGUAUCAGGCAUACCGUAAUUCUUGAUUAUCCACGGUUGAAUCAACAAGGAAUUCAAGAAAAUGAAGGAGAAGGAAUUCAGGGUGUCCAUCCACGGAACAGCUGCGCGUUUUGGCUCAAGGGUCUUGUCCAUGUUCAUCUACAAAUAAGACAUUAUUCACCUUUAUACCUACGUAACACAAAAAAAGGCUGCUGCAUGUAUCAAGACCCUUGUUUUGCAGUACUGAUAUCAUGGUUGCUGUCAUUUUCAAGAUUUUGGAAUUUUUCAACUGAUCUAUUGAUGGAUGCUUACGAAGCAGAAUACUAUGGCUUUGUUUCAAAAUAGAAGAGACAACUUGAAGCUUUUUUGAGUUUGCAUAUCUACUCGAUAAAAUUUAUUCGCAUUCGGGUGUUUGUAACAAAUGAACGUGACAUGUGUCCUGCAUAUGAAGUUAUUUAACUUGGGUUAAAUUUUAUCACUUAAUCAAACGUUAAAUGAUAUGUAUUGUUACUUUAAUUUGUGGAUGUUGUAACCAAAUUAUUUAUUUGGUACAACUAUUCUAUGGUAAGCUGC